UGCCUUGCCCCAAAUUAAAUUAAACCCUAAACUCCUUUGCCUCAGCUGCACCGCCACCCCUCUUUCAUCCCUUUCAGUAUAACACUACUCACCCACAAUCCCUAAUUCAGUGCUGCUACCCCCUCACACACCUUCACCUCAGCUCCACACAUACUCAGCCUCACUACCCUCUCAUUAAUACAACACACACGCACAGCUCCGCACUCACCGACGGAAGAGAAGGAAGGGAGCGCAGCGCCAGGGGCGGAGAAGCUCGCUGCCGUCAACCCUGCCGUCGCCGUCCGUGAAGUCCGCGCUAGUGCCGUCGCGGAGGAACGUCCCUGUUGUUGCAAACUAUUGCCAUCGCCGAUGAGGAUCCAUAGCUGGGAAGCAUGUCGCCGUUGCUGCUGUCCGUCCAGCCGAGCUGUCGCCGUCGCUGCCGGUCCGCCUUGGAGCCCUGGCCGUCGUCGAUGGGGUUGAAUCCGCCGCCGGCUUGAGCUAAGGGAAAGGAAACCCGUAUAGGGAGAGAGCGGGGGGCUUCGUGGCAGCUCCAUCGCACCGCUCCUGCCAAGCCACCGCCAAGUCCUGCCGCCGAUCGGAACCCUAGCCACCGCCGUUGAAGAUGCCACCACCGCCACUGCUGUCAAUUGGGAUCAAAAUUGUUGCUGUGUUCCCAGAGCUGUCAUGGAAGUGGUUGAUUCGGUCCCAAUUCCUCCAUUGUAGAGACUGUAAGCUUUAAUCCUUGUCUUGGUUCUAUCCUGUUUCUCUGUUUUUCUCCUAUUCUAGCUAAGGGAACCUAUGUCUCUGUUUAGUACUGCUACUCUGUUUUCCUGUUUGUUGUUAGAACCAUUAUGGUGGUGUUGAGGCCAUCAGGAAACUGUUAGAGCUGCUGUUGACAAGUUUGAUAUUGCUACCUCAAUUCUGGGUUGUGUUCACUUUUGAUACCCAUUCAAUUGGAUUUUCUAUUCUGCUGUAAUUACCAUUACCGUCGUGGAUUUAUUGCCACUGCUGCCAUGAAACGAAAAGGGAAGGGGAUCGUCGCGUUUGAUUUCCUUGGAUUUCGACACUUUGAGGUGGAAUGUUGUUAUGCCUGCCAUUGUUGCCAAAUCAAUAUCAAUUCUAUCUGAUGCAGGCCUUGGCAUGGCCAUGUUUAGCCUUGGGCUAUUUAUGGCAUUGCUACCAAAGAUCACUGCCUGUGGAAACACGGUCGCUUCAUUCGCUAUGGCGAUUCAUUUCCUCACCGGCCCUGCAGUAAUGGCUGUAGCAUCAAUUGUGGUAGGACUAAGGGGAGUUUUGUUGCACAUUGCCAUUGUACAGGCUGCCCUGCCUCAAGGAAUUGUACCCUUUGUGUUUGCUAAGGAAUACAACGUUCAUCCUGAUAUAUUAAGCCCAGGGGUUAUAUUUGGGAUGCUAAUUGCUCUUCCUAUUACUCUAGUUUAUUAUAUUUUGUUGGGGCUGUGAAGAAGAUGAGGACGGGGAGGAAUGACUAAUUAUAAUAGUGUUACAUUUACAUUUACACCCUUUUGUUAUAUUAAUAUUAUUAUAGGGUAAUUUUUUUUGCCAUCCUCUAACAAUGUAGAAUUUGGAAGCUUAAUCAGAGUUGGGAAUGAAUGAAGUGUGUUUGUAGAGAGGGCUUAAUAGCUAUAAUUUAAUUACUACUAAAUAGGAAAAGCAUCCAGAACUUGCAAACAAUUUGCAUUUUGGUGACAUCUAACAGGUCAAUCAUUUAUGGAAUAAUGAAACUAUUGGAUAUUUCUUCUUUGCCUCUUCAAGCUACUUCAAUGCCUUCUCUGAACUCACGUUACAUAUUAUUUCAUUCUCAUAAGAUGUGAGAAAGUUUCAUGCAAAUUAAAUUUUUAUAUAUGGAUUCUUGUUCUUUAGUUAAUCAUCUCUAAUAUAUGGAUUCAGGUGAAAUUUGUGGCUGGUACCAACUAGAGGCCGUACCUAUAAUCUUGACAACUGAUUCAAACAUUGGGGAGCUGAAAAUAUGCAUAUUUUGAAGACCCUUGGUGUUGAUCAUGUGGUGGACUUGGGCAGUGAAAAUGUGUUGCUAUCAUUACCAUAAAUUGAUAGCCAAUUCAGCCAAUUUAGAUUUUAUUUACUUUUCAGCAACCAGUUUGGGGAAGGGAAGAAGAAAAAAUAACAAAUCUCAUUGGUUGAUUAUUUCAAUUUAAACAUGUUAAUUUUAAUUCCAUAUAUGUUCCAUAAUUCAUGCUUCCUCGAACUAACUCCAUUGAUUUUACUUAAAAUUUAUAGUGUGAUUGUGUAAGCUUUGAAGGUGGAUAGUCUGCAGAGACUUUGCUCAUCUCUGGAACCUCUACUCAGAAAAAUUGAGUUAUAGUUUCUUCCUUUGUAUUAAAUCUUGCAUAUUUAAUCACACCUACAAAAAUAUUUAAUAUUGUGCGUUGCAUACUACCCAAACCCCUCCCCAUUAGAUCACUCCCACUAUGCAUGAAUACUUGUUUAAAACAGAAUUGAGUUUAUAAUAGUUUUCAGAACAAAUUGAGGCUAACACUCUUCACUUGAUUUGACGCAUUAUUGGUUUUUCGUUUGAUCUAAAGAAUUCAAUAUUAAAUUUAUUGUUUUAUUUGGACGUAGCUAUAUAUAUGGAAGAAUCAUUUAAAGGAAGUAAUCAAGAUCUUCUGUCCUUAUGAUGUUUUUUGUAAGGUACCAUUUUGAUUCUUCUAACCCUUAUGAACUAUAUAGGUCAGUGAAGAAGUGGAGCGUGCUUUGGCAAAACUAGGCCCUGCUAAACUGGCUGAAAGGUGUAUCCCAGCCUCAUAUUCAAAUUUCUAAGCCAAACUUCUCUACUUUUUGUAAUGUUUUUCUGCAGGUUAUGAUAAGCAAUUCAUUUUCAUGAAUUUUUUGUUAAGCAUGAAUUACUUAAUUUAGCUUGCAUUAGAUCUUUUCCAUCAAGAAUUUGAAGGUUCAAAAGCAAAGAAUGAAUAUAUUCAAAUUUUUAUCCAAUUUAAAUUUAAGCUGAUUUGAGGCAAUUAUGGUAAAACAUCUUGCUUUCUUAGGCAAUUGGGCUAUAGGGCUUAUAAACUUGAAUCCCCUAAAGAUUUAUACAAUCCAUUUGUUUCCAUGUACUUCGGUGCUGACUAUGUGACAUGGUUAUCCGAAUAUGAAGAGAGGAUCAUCAAAUCAUGUAUUUGCUGUAGAAAAUGCUGAUUUUCCAACAGUUAACUCUGGGGAUGAACUGAAAGAAACUACAGUUAACUCUGGAGAUGAAAAUGAUGCACCAGGAUAUGCAAUGAGUGGGAAAUUGAAUGCUAAGAGUGCUCUACAUAGCUUGGGUGUUGUCCUUCAGAAGCUUUUGGCAGAUCAUGCAUUAUCGAGUGGUCAGCAGAGCCUAUUUUUUAGGGAGGACGAUUCUGACGAUCAUGAUAACUCGGAUGAUUAUUUAGACGAGUAUGAGUAGGUUAUUUAAUUACGUUACGUUGAAUAUUAAGUAUUAUUAGUGGAUUACAAUUUAAACGAAUAUAAGUCUAAGUUUAGUUAUUUAUCUUGUCUUGAGUCUUUAUG